UGAGUGGCUUAAAACAAUAAAAAUUGAUCAUGCACAGUUUCUAUGGGUCAGGAAUUUGGUGGUUACUAUGGUCUGAAUGUUUACAUCCUCCCUAAAUUCCCAUGUUGAAACAGAAUCCCCAGUGUAAUGGUAUUACGAGGUGAGGCCUUUGAGAGGUGGUUAGGUCAUGAGAGUGGAGCCCUUGUGAAUGGGAUUAGUGCCUUUAUAAGGGGUGGAAGAGACCAGAAUUUUUCCCAUCCACCGUAUGAGGACACAGCAAGAAGGCACCAUCUGUAAGGAGGCAGGCCCUCACCAGACACUGAAUCUGCUGGGGCCCUGGACUUCCCAGCCUUCAGGACUGUGAGAAAUAAAUGCUUUUUAGUUAUAAGCCACCCAAUUUAUGUGUUUUGUUAUAAGAUCCCCCAAUGGACUCAGACAAUUUGGCUGGCCAGUUCUGGCUCUGGGUCUCCCAUGAGGCUGCCAUCGUACAUCAGCCAGGGCUGCAGUCAUCUCAAGGCCUGACUGGGGGCAUCUUGGAGGCUGGAUACCACAAGUACCUACCAUGAGCUAGGUGGUGUACAAGUAAUAUAUAGCAACAACAAUCAUAAUGUACAAUUGGAAGUUAUUUCAUGUUUACUAUGUGUCCAGAUGUUAAGUACUUUCCCUGAGUUACCUCCUUUAUCUUCAUAAAAACCCUACAAAUUUGGUCUGGUUAUCAUCUCAUUGAAGAGGUUAGAAAACUGGGGCUUAGAGAGGUUGGGUACUGCGGUCACACAGCUAGUAAGAGGUUGGGUCAGCAUUCACACUCAUAAGACUGUGCACUGUGUUCACCGUGCUUGAAUGCCUCCCUAGGCAUUUAGGAUUAACAAUCCAGGAGGUGUGCACAGAUGAGGAAAUUGAAGUUCAGGGAGGUCAAAAACGUGGUCGAGGUCACAGAAUCAGUAAAUGGCAGAGCCAGGAUUUAAACAGAGGCCUGACUCCAGAGCUCAUGCUCUGUCCUCUCCAUCACAUUGCUCCAGAACAGAGGAGACAGACACAGAAAGGAGAGAGUGCAAAAGAGCCAGGUAGCCAGUCCUUGUAGCACCUCCUGCUUGUUAGAAAAGGCAUCCCCUUCAGGGUGGCUAGGUGCUUGGCUUGGCGAGCUCAAUCCACACUCUCCUCCUUGGCCAGGCACUCCUGGUCGGGGCAAAAUCUGAGUGUGACAGCCCUGGGGAAGGUGACAGGAGAUGAAUGGGAAAGAAGUAGCCGUAAGCAAAGGAGGAUGCUUGCAGAAGAAAGACGAGAGAAAAUAAACAGAAAUAAAAGAGAAGGGAGAAAGAAAAAUAAAUUACCAGAUGAGGAAAGAAGGGAAAAGAAAGGACAAAAAAACAACAACAGAAGGCCGGGUGUGGUGGCUCAUGCCUGUAAUCCCAGCACUUUGGGAGGAGGCCAAGGCUGGAGGAUCACUUGAGCCCAGGAGUUCGAGACCAGCCUAGUCAACAUAGGGAGACCCUAUCUCUGCAAAAGUUUAAAAAAGAAAACAAAAAGAAAGAAAGAAAAAUAAAAAAACAGAGCGAGCACAUGGGGUCUGAUUGGCCCUCCCAGGUGUAGGCUUGGGACCUUCUCCAUAUGUGGCAAGGGAGCCCACCAGGUUGGGGGAGCAGGAAACCCAGUGGAGAGCUUGAAGCCUCCUCUGACUCCAGCUCGCAUAUUCUUCCCCAUGCCCUUGCCUUUCUGGGUCACUAGUCUGGGGAAUUAGGGAGAAGAAAAGACACUCCAGCAUGUAUCUGGCCAGAAGAAAAAUGUAGCUUCAGAGAAAAUGCGGUGGCAGCAAGGUGAGUUGCCUCCUGGAUAACACAGGGAAACCCAAUUCAGAGGAUAAUUGCUAGAGUAUCAGAGAGCUGAUUAAUUGAUUAAAUAGAAGACAAAAUCGGCUGGGUUAGGUGGCUCACGCCUGUAAUCUCAGUGCUUUGAGAGGCCAAGGCAGGAGGAUCACUUGAGUCCAGGAUUUCAAGACCAGCCUGGGCAACAUAGAGAGACCCGUAUCUCUACAAAAAAAUUAAAAAGGAGACAAAAUAGGAAAGCAUGAUUAAUGGCUUCACCACUGUGCUUCUCUUUGCAGUUUGGUUCCCAAAGCAAAUGGCUUCAUUGGCAGGGUUAACGUUGAUUAUCACUGGCCACUGAUGAAUCAAUGUCUGUUUGCCCUUGUGUAUAAAUUAGUCAAUUCUCACUUUUCCCAUGAGGGUAUUGAGUGAGAGAAACCAUCUGGAGGAGCUGCUAAUUUGAAGUAAGUAUAAAGAGUUAUGAGACUUGGAGGCAGGAAGACCUGGAUUUGAGUCCUAGUUCUGCCAGCAGCUAAAGAUCAGGAACACCACAGCCACCCCAUGGCUUCCAGUGGUCUCAUGAUCAGCUUUCAGUGGGCUGCUGCUCCUGAAAGCUGACCAGCCUCCUAGAGGCCAGUCUCUAGCAGGAGGGUUGAGCAGAAAAAUCAUUUUUUUCCUGCCUCCUGCCUUUCCCUGUUCCAGUAAGGUCUCACAAUUGCCAACUGGCUUUCUAAAAAAUAUAUUUGACCAUUUCACUCUUCUACGUAUAAUCCUUCUAUGGCUUCCAUCACCGACAGCAGCAAAUUCAAAUUCCUGAGCAUGGCAGGUCAGGCCCUUUGCAGUGUGCCCCCUCACUACCUUGUUAGUUUUGUCUUCUAUCAGUUCCUGUGUACCUUGUUACUCUGGGCUUUUUCUUAUGCUGUUAGCUCUUACUGAAACCACUUCUCCUUCUGCUUGCUUGGCACUCUGUUUCACCCUUCAGCUUCAUCAUCCAUGUAUCCAUCCAUCCAUCCAUCCAUCCAUCCAUCCAUCAGCCAUCUAAUUAUCCACUCAUCCAACCACCCACAAAACUCAUCCUGCACUUAUUUUAAAACUCUGUUUCAGUGCUUACCAAGCUUGUCUGCACACUGGAAUCACCUGGUGAGGUUUGAAAAAUGCUGAUGGCGUGUUCCACCUUCAAAGAUUGUGACUUAAUUAGCCUGAAGUGGCCUGGCUUUGGAAUUUUUUAAAGAUACCUAGGUGAAUCUAAUGUGUAGACAAGUAUUGAAGCUCUUGAAGACUUAGAGAUAAAAGUUGGUUGAGACUAGAAAUUUAGCAUAGAAGGAGAAGUAGACCAGUAAAUAAUUGUACAACCAUGUACACAAGUGCUAUGAAAGGGGUAAGCCAGAGUUUCUCAGGAAGGGACACUGAUGGGCAUGAGAGAUGGGUGGCCGGAGGAGUUGAGUCUUCGAGGACAAGUAGGAGAAUUCCAGGGAAAGCAGGAAGUAGACAUCCGAGUCAGAAGAAAGACCGAAUGCAGCAGAGCAAGCUGGAGAGAGCGUGCCACUUUCGGGAUGAACGAGGACUUGGCGUGACUGAAGCUUUGAGGGCAACGAACCUAUGGAGGCAGAUGGGGCCUCACAGGGCAGGGAGGGAAAAGCCAGUGAAGGCAGGUGUCAUGGCUGUGACUGGUCCAACUAUGCAGCUGUGAGGUAGGGGAGGUAAGGCAGUUGGUGGACUAGGAAGGAAGAUGGUAGCAACUGGUGGUUAGGCCUUCCCUUCUCCAGAGAAGCCGUCCUCACAUUUUCUCCACCCACAUGCUCCUCCUCACGACAGAGAUCCUGUGCAUCUUUGUUCUUCUGGCCCACAGCUCUGUGCCUGGGAGAGCAUAAAUGCUCAUGCCUCAUCUCGCAUGGUGAGGUAGGAAAAGCACAGGACAAAGAGCUUCAAAGGCAGACCAACUAGACUUAAGAUCAAUUCCAUUCCUUUAAAAUAGUGUGCUGUUGGAUGAGUCAGCCAUAUGCUCUGAACUCGGUUUUCUCUAUAAGAAAAUGGAGAUGAUGCCAAGCUCAUAAGCUUAUUUUGAGGAUUAGAAAAAGAGGUAUGUCGGUGGUUCUGAAAGUGUGCUCUCUGGACUGGCAGCACCAGCAUCAUCUACUAGUUAGAAAUGCAGGUUCUCAGGCCCCACCCAGCCCUGAGGAAUCAGAAUCUCUGGGAGUGCAGCCAGCAGGCUGUUCUAACACACCUUGUGGGUGAGGCUUAUGCAUGCUCAAAUUGGAGAAACACUGAUAUAUGUCAACUACUUCAUCCUUGCUUGCUUUUCUAGAAGCCUAGCUACUCUUGAAAAGUGGAAAGAAACAACUGGCACCUCGCUCUGGGAUCUGUACCAGUCCCUCCUUUUGUUUUCCUUCCCAAGUCUGGUUAUGGCAGAUGUGGGGCUUAGAUGGUCAGGCUUGGAAAUCAGGCAUCUAAAAGGGAGUUCCACAUCAGCUGUCUGUGCGCACACACACGCUUGACCUCUAAGUAAAACUGUGUGACCUUAACCUCUGAGCAUCCAUUUUCAUCUAUAAAUGGGAGUGAUGAUAGUUAUGGGCCAGUCAUUGGUCUAAGCACUUUACAUCUAUUAUCUCAUUUUAGCCUCACAACAACCCUAUGAAGGUAGUACUAUUAUUAACCCUGUUUUAGAGAUGAGGGAACAGAGGUACAGAAAGGUGAAGAAACUUGCCUCAGGGCGUAGUGAUCAUGUGUGAAAGCUGGGAUUCACGCACAGGCACUCCGGUUACAGGGUCCCCACUCUUUGCCAGUUUGCCUCACCAGGUUUUGAAAAUAUUACUACAUUUGUAAGACGUUUAGCAUACUCUGCUGUGCUUUGUUAAGGUGAAAUGUCUCACCCUGGGUAGUCAUGUCUCUGCUCCUCACAAUGAGAACUUGGCUUAGUCACUUCACUUCUCCUGGCCUUAGGUUCCAAAUGUUUAAAAUGGGAGGUUAGACUAAAUUAAAGAAUAUAAACUGAAGCCCCUAAGGCCCAAAGAAUAAACUGUAUUUGGCUAGAAUUUUCUCUUAAAUUGAAAGUGACCAUCUUUAAGGGGUACAUGCUCUUCCCUGCUCACCCCGUUAGCCCUGAUUUCAGCUGUCUACCAUAGGCCCACUUCUUGAGUGACCUGGCACCUGGAGGCAUUUAAGUUGGAGAUCACUGACACUGAUCACAACCAAUGGCUAAACCUGAGGUCCUACGGAUUUACUAUUCUUUGAAUUUCACCUCCCUUCCUCCCUGCAAUCCAUCGUCAUGCUUUACCUGGGAUGUUUCUUGUGCAAAGGCAGCUCUGAGCCUUGACUCCUUGCCUCUCACUGUUACAGAAGCCCUCUGCUUGGCCUGGCUGCCAGAGGUGUCAGUGUUCCUAUUGGCGUAUGCCCCAAAAUUGCUGAUUUAUAUUUGUUUCUGCAAGGGAGACAGAUAAAGCUUGUUUUAGGGUGUAUAGUUAAGCCAAUUUCAGAAUCUCUUACACAUGGAAAUAGAUUUAUUUUCACUUAAUCUGAAAGGCUUCCUUGUUUCUAAUGCAGACAUUAAGCAAUUGCUGGAAGAGGAAAGACCUUUUAUUCUGCUUCAUGAGUUCAUGCACCCCUACGCUGAAUACCUUUCAUUUCCUGCAGCAGGAAUGCAUUCAGUAAUUUUACUGGCUUUGCAAAUAUCCUUCAUCUGGCCGCUGGGAAACAGGUGCCAGGUGUUGUUCUAUUACUAUACUGCCUGACACACAUAACAGGCACUCAAGCACUGCUGAAUGGAGAAAUGAACGGGAAAAUUCUUUGCAGCAACUGGAGCCUACACUACCGGUUAAGUAACACUGAACCUCAUUCAAGUUAUUGUAAUAUAUAUCAUUUUUAGAAUUCCAUACAGCUUAUAAAGUCCUCACACAUGUUCUCUAGAAAUUAUUUUUCAUAUUUUAAAGUCGAGGAAAUGGAGCUUCCAGAGGUUAACUUCAAAGUCACACUGUGACAUUUAAUUUUCUGAGGCCUCAGGUUACCAUUACCAAAUUAAAAGCCAAUAUUAAAACAUAGUUUUCGACAAAAAACAUUUUUGAAGUUGUAUAAGCUAAAGCUUUAGAUACUAAAACAAACAUUGCAGAAAAAAAAUCAUGUAUCACAAAGAGGAAACAGUACUAUUGCAUCGCACUUGAUAGUCUGCAAAGCAUUUUCUCCAUAAUUCGAUUCUGCCCAAUGAUGUCGUGCCAUUGCAGUAAGACGGUCCCUUGCAUCAGCUCCUGGUACUGCACCCUAGAGGACGAACAGCAACAAGAACUGACUGCCCCAACGUUUCUCUUUUCCAAAAGAUAGGUUUGACUGGUGGUUGAGUGGAAUUUCUUGCACACUCAUGCCACCUACUGGUACUUUUCUGGUAGCAAAGCUUCCAGCUGAUUUUUUUUUUUUUUUAAUUAAAAACAUUUUUUCAGUGUAAACUUUAGCAGGAUCAUUUGAAUGUUUUACUCAUUAGCCCAUUUCUUAAAAAUACCGUCCCCUCAAACUUUGAAACUCGCUUCCUGUUGCUGCCCUAAGGAGCCUUCUCUAACACAGAACCUGACUCACUUGAAAGGGACUGAAAUAUUUUAUUCCUUUUGGCAUAUUGACAAGCUUCAGAAACGCCUCUGAACACCUUGCAUUGGGCUGGGAUCCUGGGGGAAGGGAGAUGGGUUACGUGGGAAGAGAUUACACUCGUGGAAUUUUCUGGAGUUCACAGUAAUGUCUCCACUUUGCCCAGUAUUUCCUGGGAGGGCUCCAGGUAGAGUGGGAUAGUUGAGAAGGUGGUGGCCAGCUCCUUCCAUGGCAGUUUAACUGCUGGAAAAGAGGGAAAUUCUAAGUGAAUUCCAAGGAGUGGCGGAAGCCAACCUCCUCUCCUGGGUCGGGGGCAUACCAGGGGAUUUCUCAAACUGCACCAGUCCCUGAAAACCUCUGGUCUAUCCUCAAGGACACAAAUAUCACCUGCAAAGCUGGGCUUUCAAAUUAGCUUUGGAUACAGGUUUUUAAAAUUACUAUAUGGACUUUGUCUUUGUAUUUUGCUUUAAAUCCAGGAGGAAGAGAUAACUUGUUCAUCUGUAGGGCACAUCAGAAGAAGUAUAUAAACCAUUUAUCUCACCACCUUAGGAUUCUUUAAAAACUGGACGAACUUCAUUCUAGCAGUAGUAUGCAAUAAGCUGAGACCAACACAGGAGAAAAUGAGUCAGUUGCUGUUAGUGAAAGCUCUGGCAGGUUCUCAAAGUUAGCUUGUCUGCGGGGGGAAAUGGUGGCUUUUUAAUUACCAUUGAUAUUAUAUUCAAUGAGCUUUUUACCUUUUUUCUCUUCUGCUCCAUGGUAGGAGAAAAAUAGCAGCUUUGAAGAUUUUUGAAAGCCAUGUAAAAUUAUAUUAUAGAAGAUUAUGAAAAAUUCCUUAUAAUGAAAAGUCAAGAUAGUAACAUUUAGUAAACUGCAGAUUUCAAAUCCUCAUUUGCUGAAAGGUUUAUCAGUACAUGUUAAAUCCAGAAAGGAUUUAAAGAACUUUGAAAGCAUUCUGGUCAUUCUAUAAUUUAGAACAAAUUAGGUUAAAUUGUGAAGAGUUGUUCAGGAUUACUGAAAAAAGUAAUUACUCCAGAUAUAUGCAUACUGCUUAUCAACAGGUUUUUAUGUUCUAUAUUUCACUAUGUUCUGACAAGAUUUAAGACAAGGCUUGUUUUUACAAUUCACACUUGAGAGAACUAAGAUUCAGAGGUUAACUGACUUCCCAAAGUCACACAGCUAAAGUUAGUCAGCAUUGAUGUUUUUUUUGUUUGUUUGUUUGUUUUUUGAGAUGGAGUCUUGCACUGUCGCCCAGGCUGGAGUGCAGUGGUAUAAUUUCGGCUCACUGCAACCUCUGCCUCCUGGGUUCAAGUGAUUC
rnacentral:lncRNA from 10 species